rnacentral:rRNA from 1 species
AUACCGGCAGCUCAAGCGGUAGCCGCUUUUAUUGGGCCUAAAGCGUCCGUAGCCGGUCUGAUAAGUCUCUGGUGAAAUCCCACAGCUUAACUGUGGGAAUUGCUGGAGAUACUAUCAUGACUCGAGGUCGGGAGAGGCUGGAGGUACUCCCCGGGUAGGGGUGAAAUCCUGUAAUCCUGGGAGGACCACCUGUGGCGAAGGCGUCCAGCUGGAACGAACCUGACGGUGAGGGACGAAAGCCAGGGGCGCGAACCGGAUUAGAUACCCGGGUAGUCCUGGCCGUAAACGAUGUGGACUUGGUGUUGGGAUGGCUUCGAGCUGCCCCAGUGCCGAAGGGAAGCUGUUAAGUCCACCGCCUGGGAAGUACGGCCGCAAGGCUGAAACUUAAAGGAAUUGGCGGGG